rnacentral:tRNA from 1 species
GAAUGCACAGUUUAAAAUGGAUAAAUACUAACAUGUCACGAUAGAGAUUGCAGGUUCGAGUCCUGCUGCAUUUC